CCAGUAGGCGGCCAACUAAGUCGGAUGUGAAAUCCCCAGGCUUAACUUGGGAACUGCAUCCGAUACUGGAUGGCUUGAAUUCGGGAGAGGGAUGCAGAAUUCCAGGUGUAGCGGUGAAAUGCGUAGAUAUCUGGAGGAAUACCGGUGGCGAAGGCGGCAUCCUGGACCGACAUUGACGCUGAACGGCGAAAGCUAGGGGAGCAAACG
rnacentral:rRNA from 1 species